rnacentral:lncRNA from 1 species
UCUUAUUUAGCAUUGGAUUUCAUACAUGACAACAAACAAAGGAAUACAUGAUCUGAAUCUAAAUGGUCUUAUUUGACUCUCUUAUUAAAGGCUAUUGUAGCAAACAAAUUUUUUUUUAAAUAAAAAUGGAGACGAGGGGCAUCGAACACUUCACUUGGGUUUUUAUAAAUCCAACAUAAACCACUGGACUACUUGAAACUAUUGAGAUUAACGGCAAGAAAUGAAUGUAAAUGGUCUUAUUUGACUCUCUUAUUAAAGUCUAUCGUAGGAACAAAAUGGAGAUGGGGGGGCAUCGAACACUUCACCUACGGUAAUUACACCUACAACAUAAACCACUGGACUAAUUGAAACUAUUGACAUUAGUGGCUGAUUACAAAAUUAAAUAAAGUGAAUCUAAAGUAAGCCAUACAACAUAUCAACCCCUAACGAUACCCUAAAUGAAUCUAAACUAGCCAUACAACAUAUGAACCCCUA